AAAUGUACCAGCACUAACACAUCAGAUCCAAUCAAAACGCUGAAGUUAGGCGUGCUUGGACGGCGAGAAUAGUACUAGGAUGAGUAACCUCUUGGGAAGUCCUCGUGUUGCAUCCC
rfam:Nicotiana attenuata strain TT chromosome 3, whole genome shotgun sequence.